CUUUCCUGUCUUUUGCAUUUGAAAAUAUUAGUCAUGUAUUCAUUUGUACUUAAAGAUAUAUUAAUUAUUUAUUAUACCGUUUUAUUCAAGUUCAAUAAACAGCAACAUAUUAUAAAAGAAAAACAAUCCAUCCUGUUUCAACUUUGCCAAAAAAAUUGUAUUAUUCAGUGCCUCUGGGUUCCUAGCCACGUAGGUAUCCACAGUAACGAGAUAGGUGAUACUUGGUCAAAUUCUCCUUAAACUUAAUUAGCCCUUUCUUUUUUUCAAUUCCUUGGUCACAUCUCUCACCUAUCCUUCGAUAUCAUGUUCUUACACCCUGGUCUAUUUAUUGGAACAGAUUACCAGCAAACUUUACCUCUAAAUUCAAAUCUAUAGUCCCUGCCAUUCUAAAUAAUAUUUGGUUCAUGGAUCUUAAACUAUUAACAUCUCAAAUAAUCAAAUUUAAUCUAUUACACGUGGGCCAUUACCCUCCUCCCCCAUUCUUAAAAGCUCAAUCUCAAAGAUUACCUUUUCUGCACACUAUUUAGAUCAGUGGUCUGAUCAGUUAGAUCAUCUCAACCUUUUUCAUGUAAAUGUUCAAAAACACACACACCCUCCCCUUAAAUUAAAUGAGACUAUUAGAGUUUAG